AUUUUCAAUAAAUCUUGCUGCUGCUCACUCCUUGGGUCCACACUGCUUUAAUGAGCUGUAACACUGACUGUGAAGUUCUGCAGCUUCACUCCUGAGGCCAGCGAGACCACGAACCCACCGGGAGAAAUGAACAACUACAGAUGCGCCACCUUAAGAGCUGUAACACUCACCAUGAGGGUCUGCAGCUUCAUUCCUGAAGUCGAUGAGAAAAUCAAAGCCCGUAUCAUCUGCUUCACGUCCCGCAUUUACUUAACGCUGUAAGCAUAGAACGCUGUUCCCAGUGACUACCCCUCCAUCCCCGGUUCUGUGAUUUCAGAGACAGUCGUGGUAUCCUUGAGGGCAGGCAUUGGUUUUUUUUUUAAAUUUAUUACAAUAUUUAGCUUAUUCCUAGUAGAGAGCAGUCAAUGGAUACAUUUUCCAAAUUGAAUUGACUUCAUGUAAGUGAAUUUUUUAAUAAACAGCAAAUUUACACGGUGAAUAUUACCUUUUCAGAAUCUGUUUAUUAUAUUAAUAUUGAUUUCUCAACAUUAUACCUCUAUUAAAAACUCUUUGUUAAUGAAGGGUUUUGACACUAAAAAAUAAACUAAUAUAUAGCAUAACACUGAAGUUUAAGAAAAUUAUUGUAUGAAACAUUCAGUAAAAGCAAGCACUUACUACCCUGUCAGUCCAAAAUGUAAUAUUGUGCAAUAGCCUUUAAAUUGUAUUGUUAUAAAAAUGUUGCUUAACUGGG
rnacentral:lncRNA from 10 species